rnacentral:tRNA from 1 species
AAGAAAGUGUCAGAGUGGUUAUGUGGCUGGCUUGAAACUAGCUUAUGGGGGUUCGAGUCCUCCCUUUCUGG